rnacentral:rRNA from 1 species
AUUGAACGCUAGCGGCAUGCCUUACACAUGCAAGUCGAACGAGUGGCGAACGGGUGAGUAAUGCAUCGGAAUGUGCCCAGUAGCGGGGGAUAACUACGCGAAAUGUCGCUAAUACCGCAUACUAUUGGCGUGGCCGAUAUCGGAUUAGCUAGUUGGUGGGGUAACGGCCUACCAAGGCGACGAUCCGUAACUGUUUUGAGAGGACGACCAGUCACACGGGGACUGGUACACGGUCCAGACUCCUACGGGAGGCAGCAGUGGUGAAUUUUGGACAAUGGGGGAAACCCUGAUCCAGCCAGCCCGCGUGUGCGAUGAAGGCCUUCGGAUUGUAAAGUACUUUUAGCAGGGAGGCGGUACCUGCAGAAUAAGCACCGGCUAACUUCGUGCCAGCAGCCGCGGUAAUAC